GAUGAACGCUGGCGGCGUGCUUAACACAUGCAAGUCGAACGGGAAUUAUUUUAUUUAAACUUCGGUCGAUUUCAUUUAAUUCUAGUUGCGGACUGGUUAGUAACGCGUGGGUAACCUGCCUUAUACAGGGGGAUAACAGUCAUAAAUGGCUGCUAAUACCGCAUAAUCGCACAUAGCUGCAUGUCUCAGUUUGAAAAACUCCGGUGGUAUAAGCUGGACCCGCGUUGGAUUAGCUGGUUGGUGGGGUAACGGCCCACCAAGGCGACGAUCCAUAGCCGGCAAGAGAGGGGGAACGGACACAGUGGGAAGGAGACACGGACCAGAAUAGUACGGGAGGGAGGAGUGGGGAAUAGUGCAAAAUGGGGGAAAACAAGAAGAAGCGACGACGCGUGAAGGAAGAAGUAUCUAGGAAAGUAAACGUCAAUAAGAAGGGAAGAUAGUGACGGUACCUGACUAAGAAGCCCCGGCUAACUACGUG
rnacentral:rRNA from 1 species